rnacentral:tRNA from 1 species
GCGGGAUAGCUCAGUUGGUUAGAGCGCAGGAUUCAUAAUCCUGAGGUCGAGAGUUCAAGCCUCUCUCCC